rnacentral:rRNA from 1 species
GACCUACGGGGCGCAGCAGUGAGGAAUAUUGGUCAAUGGGCGAGAGCCUGAACCAGCCAAGUCGCGUGAAGGAUGGCGGCCCUACGGGUUGUAAACUUCUUUUGUCAGGGAGCAAUUGAGUCCACGUGUGGGCUUAGCGAGAGUACCUGAAGAAAAAGCAUCGGCUAACUCCGUGCCAGCAGCCGCGGUAAUACGGAGGAUGCGAGCGUUAUCCGGAUUUAUUGGGUUUAAAGGGUGCGCAGGCGGCACGGCAAGCCGGCGGUCAAAUCGCGGGGCUCAACCCCGCCCAGCCGUCGGAACUGCCG